rnacentral:snRNA from 1 species
CUACUCGCUUCAGCGGUACAUAUGCUAAAAUUGGAACGAUACAGAGAAGAUUAGCAUGGCCUCUGCGCAAGGAUGGCACGCAAAAUCGUGAAGCGUUCCAUAUUUUU